GAUGAACGCUGGCGGCGUGCCUAAUACAUGCAAGUCGAGCGAACAGACGAGAGUGCUUGCACUCUCUGACGUUAGCGGCGGACGGGUGAGUAACACGUGGGUAACCUACCUAUAAGACUGGGAAAACUUCGGGAAACCGGAGCUAAUACCGGAUAAUAUUUAGCUUCGCAUGAAGCAAUAGUGAAAGACGGUUCUGCUGUCACUUAUAGAUGGACCCGCGGUGUAUUAGCUAGUUGGUGAGGUAACGGCUCACCAAGGCAACGAUACAUAGCCGACCUGAGAGGGUGAUCGGCCACACUGGGACUGAGACACGGCCCAGACUCCUACGGGAGGCAGCAGUAGGGAAUCUUCCGCAAUGGACGAAAGUCUGACGGAGCAAUGCCGCGUGAGUGAAGAAGGUUUUCGGAUCGUAAAACUCUGUUGUAAGGGAAGAACAAGUACGUUAGUAACUGAACGUACCUUGACGGUACCUUACCAGAAAGCCACGGCUAACUACGUG
rnacentral:rRNA from 1 species